AUCCGUCGACUUUAGAAAUCAUGAGGGUUCAAG
rnacentral:tRNA from 3 species